rnacentral:rRNA from 1 species
UACGAAGGGGGGCUAGCGUUGUUCGGAAUUACUGGGCGUAAAGGGCUCGUAGGCGGCCAACUAAGUCAUACGUGAAAUCCCUCGGCUUAACCGGGGAACUGCGUCUGAUACUGGAUGGCUUGAGAUUGGGAGAGGGAUGCGGAAUUCCAGGUGUAGCGGUGAAAUGCGUAGAUAUCUGGAGGAACACCGGUGGCGAAGGCGGCAUCCUGGACCAACACUGACGCUGAGGAGCGAAAGCCAGGGGGAGCAAACGGG